GUUAAAUAGUUGGAUAUUUUGAGAGGUAUCAUAGAUAUGUGUGAAAGCAUUAGGCUUCAUUUGAAGCAUUGGUUUUGCUUGUAGUUUUCUGGAUUUGUAAGUCCAAAACCACAAAAUUCAACUUGGAGCACCAUCCAAUUUGAGUGUGGGCCCUGAGCAAAUCUUCUUUCCAAUGAACAUGCAAACUAAUGAAAACAUGCAUUUUGGUAAAACUUCUGUAUUCUGGAAGAUGACACCUGAAGGUGGUAUUAGGGCAUUAUAAAUUAUUUGCUACUGAAUUUAAGGCUUCUCAGGACAUUCAAGCUUAAUCUUCUUUUUCAAAGGGUAAGGAUUGUACUAAUAUCAAGAGGAAGCACUAUACAUGGAUGAUGUAAACAAAAAAUCCAGUCCUUGAAUAGAGAGCCCCUUUGUAAUUUAAAUCAGCCAUCCCCCACUAAACAAAAAUCAGAAUCUCAUUUUCCCCAUGCCAUAUGAGUGUUCUACUGAGAAUCUGAAAGAAUAGAAAGCAAAAUGAUGUCAUUUUUACUUUCUUCAUCCUGUACACUGAAGAUUCCUUAUCUCAAAAACCAUUGGGUUUCUCUCCUCCAUAAGCACAAGCAUGCUGCAAAAGGACAGAUCUCCCAAACUGUUAGAGCUGUUCCAUCCACAUGACCCAUUUCCCAUUCCUCUAGACACUGAAACUAGGGAAGCAGAAAGACCCAUCCAGCCCCACCAAAUCCAGCAUCUCCUGCCAUACAGCAGCCACUAACUUACAUCUUAGGAACAAGUGAUUAACAUCCUCCUCUGAAUCAGAAUACAACCUGUAGUGGUUCCAUAAUCUCUAUCCCUUUAAUUAGAUUAUUAUCAUUUGUCGACUGUGAAGUUUGUCUCAGCCGUGCUAUCCACGGAAAGAAAGCCCCCCUGGGAGGAAGCCACUGACUGCAAACUAUUCUGUAUGGUAUACAGUAGACACUAUAAAUUAGCUUGUACAAGGUUCAAAUAGCAAAAUUUUCCACUGAUUAGAUUUUCAAAUACAUGCAUCUGCACUUUCUUUGGUUCUUGUACUGUCCAACAGGUGCUCUAUUUUCUAAUGCUUUUCAGAAAAAACAAUAGAAAUAAUUUUUUUUCCAUGAUCAAAAGAAAGUUGUGCUUAACUGUGACA